GACGAACGCUGGCGGCGUGCUUAACACAUGCAAGUCGAACGGUAAGGCUCCAGCUUGCUGGGGUACACGAGUGGCGAACGGGUGAGUAACACGUGGGUGACCUGCCCUGCACUUCGGGAUAAGCCUGGGAAACUGGGUCUAAUACCGGAUAGGACCAUGGUGUGGAUACUGUGGUGGAAAGUUUUUUCGGUGUGGGAUGGGCCCGCGGCCUAUCAGCUUGUUGGUGGGGUAAUGGCCUACCAAGGCGGCGACGGGUAGCCGGCCUGAGAGGGUGGACGGCCACAUUGGGACUGAGACACGGCCCAGACUCCUACGGGAGGCAGCAGUGGGGAAUAUUGCACAAUGGGCGGAAGCCUGAUGCAGCGACGCCGCGUGGGGGAUGACGGCCUUCGGGUUGUAAACUCCUUUCACCAUCGGCGAAGGGUUUCUGACGGUAGAUGGAGAAGAAGCACCGGCUAACUACGUG
rnacentral:rRNA from 1 species